GCAUGAAUGGACCUAAGCUUGUC
rnacentral:piRNA from 1 species